rnacentral:lncRNA from 1 species
AGGACUUGGGAGGCCAAAGUGAUCACAAUCCAAGAAGCCAAAGAUCUGAAUAUUUUACCCUUCGAGGAGCUUCGAGGAUCGCUAAUGACACACGAGCUAAGCAUGAAAUAACAUCAAAAAGAAGAUGUCAAGAAGAAGAGGACAAUAGUCCUCAUCACUAGAAAGUUUAAAAAAAUUUUGAAGAAAAGAAAAUAAAGGAUGAGGAAGAGGCCACC